UGAUUCGCUAAGCUGAUUCGCUUCAUCACGUGAAAUGUGAAUCACCACCACAAGCCCAGUGACUCUGGUGACUCAUGUAAUCUGUGCUCUGGAAUUUAUAGGCCUAUUCUAGUCGUUCUGUGCUUCGUCGGUGCCGGUGCCGGUAAUUUUGGUGCUGUGUUUUACUCACUGUUAGUCUUAUUUCGUUAAAUUAAUAAAUUAUAAUGUGCAGUUACUUAGUUAGUUAGUGACUUAGACUUAGUCAUCGAGUGCAAAUGCGUCGUGCCAACGCUAAUAAGAAAGGAAAGGUCGGCUGCGGCAAUGGCUCCCGUGGAAAGGCCCUAGUAGAUGCCGCGCUGAACAAACCGAGGCAAUAAAUGACGACGAGUAUCAGACAUCAGUCGAGUGGCUAAACAUUAGUAUUUCUCCAUGGAAUAUUGUCAUCCAAAAGUGGAAGAUAACAGCACCUAGAAGACUUCAUGAGUAUGAAAUCACAAAAGUUCCAAUUUCAGACUAUGUAGCUCUGUUUCCAGCCCUACAAUUAUCAGAAGGAUCUGAAUUGACUUUGGUGUCAAAUACAGAGAACACAAAGACUGCUUCCACGAGGCUUGGCCUCAUCUAAAAGAUGCACUCAUAACGCACGCUCAACGCAAAAUUAAGGAUGACCCAACAUUCAAAGCAAUAAUAAAAGCGAACAAAAUUGAUUUUGAUGUCUCCAGUGAGUACCCUAGAAUACUUA
rnacentral:lncRNA from 1 species